rnacentral:rRNA from 1 species
GGUGGGGUAUCUUCCGCAUGGACGAAGUCUGACGGCACCCCGCCGCGUGAGUGAUGAAGGUUUUCGGAUCGUAAAGCUCUGUUGUUAGGGAAGAACAAGUGCCGUUCAAAUAGGGCGGCACCUUGCCGGUACCUAACCAAAAAGCCACGGCUAACUACGUGCCAGCAGCCGCGGUAUCCA